CACGUAGGGUGCGAGCGUUGUCCGGAAUUAUUGGGCGUAAAGAGCUCGUAGGCGGUGUGUCACGUCGGCCGUGAAAACCUGCAGCUUAACUGUGGGCGUGCGGUCGAUACGGGGCAUCACUGGAGUUCGGCAGGAGAGACUGGAAUUCCUGGUGUAGCGGUGAAAUGCGCAGAUAUCAGGAGGAACACCGGUGGCGAAGGCGGGUCUCUGGGCCGGAUACUGACGUGAGGGAAGCGAAAGGCGUGGGGGAGCAAACAGGAUUCAGAUACC
rnacentral:rRNA from 1 species